rnacentral:rRNA from 1 species
GAUGAACGCUGGCGGCGUGCCUAAUACAUGCAAGUCGAGCGAACGGACGAGAAGCUUGCUUCUCUGAUGUUAGCGGCGGACGGGUGAGUAACACGUGGAUAACCUACCUAUAAGACUGGGAUAACUUCGGGAGACCGGAGCUAAUACCGGAUAAUAUUUUGAACCGCAUGAUUCAAAAGUGAAAGACGGUCUUGCUGUCACUUAUAGAUGGAUCCGCGCUGCAUUAGCUAGUUGGUAAGGUAACGGCUUACCAAGGCAACGAUGCAUAGCCGACCUGAGAGGGUGAUCGGCCACACUGGAACUGAGACACGGUCCAGACUCCUACGGGAGGCAGCAGUAGGGAAUCUUCCGCAAUGGGCGAAAGCCUGACGGAGCAACGCCGCGUGAGUGAUGAAGGUCUUCGGAUCGUAAAACUCUGUUAUUAGGGAAGAACAUAUGUGUAAGUAACUGUGCACAUCUUGACGGUACCUAAUCAGAAAGCCACGGCUAACUACGUG